UGCGCAUUGGUCUGCGUUAAA
rnacentral:piRNA from 1 species